AGAGUUUGAUCCUGGCUCAGGACGAACGCUGGCGGCGUGCCUAAUACAUGCAAGUCGAGCGAGCUUGCCUAGAUGAUUUUAGUGCUUGCACUAAAUGAAACUAGAUACAAGCGAGCGGCGGACGGGUGAGUAACACGUGGGUAACCUGCCCAAGAGACUGGGAUAACACCUGGAAACAGAUGCUAAUACCGGAUAACAACACUAGACGCAUGUCUAGAGUUUGAAAGAUGGUUCUGCUAUCACUCUUGGAUGGACCUGCGGUGCAUUAGCUAGUUGGUAAGGUAACGGCUUACCAAGGCAAUGAUGCAUAGCCGAGUUGAGAGACUGAUCGGCCACAUUGGGACUGAGACACGGCCCAAACUCCUACGGGAGGCAGCAGUAGGGAAUCUUCCACAAUGGACGAAAGUCUGAUGGAGCAACGCCGCGUGAGUGAAGAAGGGUUUCGACUCGUAAAGCUCUGUUGGUAGUGAAGAAAGAUAGAGGUAGUAACUGGCCUUUAUUUGACGGUAAUUACUUAGAAAGUCACGGCUAACUACGUGCCAGCAGCCGCGGUAAUACGUAGGUGGCGAGCGUUAUCCGGAAUGAUUGGGCGUAAAGGGUGCGCAGGCGGUCCUGCAAGUCUGGAGUGAAACGCAUGAGCUCAACUCAUGCAUGGCUUUGGAAACUGGAGGACUGGAGAGCAGGAGAGGGCGGUGGAACUCCAUGUGUAGCGGUAAAAUGCGUAGAUAUAUGGAAGAACACCAGUGGCGAAGGCGGCCGCCUGGCCUGUUGCUGACGCUGAGGCACGAAAGCGUGGGGAGCAAAUAGGAUUAGAUACCCUAGUAGUCCACGCCGUAAACGAUGAGGACCAAGUGUUGGGGGUGAAACCUCAGUGCUGAAGUUAACGCAGUGAGUCCUCCGCCUGGGGAGUAUGCACGCAAGUGUGAAACUCAAAGGAAUUGACGGGGGCCCGCACAAGCGGUGGAGUAUGUGGUUUAAUUCGAAGCAACGCGAAGAACCUUACCAGGCCUUGACAUGGGAUGCGAAGAUGCAGAGAUGCAUCGGAGGUCAACAUCCACACAGGUGGUGCAUGGUUGUCGUCAGCUCGUGUCGUGAGAUGUUGGGUCAAGUCCCGCAACGAGCGCAACCCUUGUGGCAUGUUGCUAACAGGAAAAGCUGAGGACUCAUGCCAGACUGCCGGUGACAAUCCGGAGGAAGGCGGGGAUGACGUCAAAUCAUCAUGCCCCUUAUGGCCUGGGCUACACACGUACUACAAUGGCGGCUACAAAGAGCAGCGAGACAGGGAUGUCGAGCGAAUCUCAUAAAAGCCGUCCCAGUUCGGAUUGGAGGCUGCAACUCGCCUCCAUGAAGUUGGAAUCGCUAGUAAUCGCGGAUCAGCAUGCCGCGGUGAAUACGUUCCCGGGCCUUGCACUCACCGCCCGUCA
rnacentral:rRNA from 1 species